GAUGAACGCUGGCGGCGUGCUUAACACGUGCAAGUCGAGCGAAGCAUUUAAGUGGAUUCCUUCGGGAUGAAGGUUUUAUGACUUAGCGGCGGACGGGUGAGUAACGCGUGGGGAACCUGCCCCAUACCGGGGGAUAACAGCCGGAAACGGCUGCUAAUACCGCAUAAGCGCACAGUGCCGCAUGGCACAGUGUGAAAAACUCCGGUGGUAUGGGGAUGGACCCGCGUUGGAUUAGCUAGUUGGCAGGGUAAAGGCCUACCAAGGCGACGAUCCAUAGCCGGCCUGAGAGGGUGAACGGGCCACAUUGGGGCUGAGACACGGCCCAGACUCCUACGGGAGGCAGCAGUGGGGAAUAUUGCACAAUGGGGGAAACCCUGAUGCAGCGACGCCGCGUGAAGGAAGAAGUAUCUCGGGUAUGUAAACUUCUAUCAGCAGGGAAGAUAGUGACGGUACCUG
rnacentral:rRNA from 1 species